rnacentral:rRNA from 1 species
UACGUAGGGUGCGAGCGUUGUCCGGAAUUACUGGGCGUAAAGAGCUCGUAGGUGGUUUGUCGCGUUGUUCGUGAAAACCUGAGGCUUAACCUUGGGCGUGCGGGCGAUACGGGCAGACUGGAGUACUGCAGGGGAGACUGGAAUUCCUGGUGUAGCGGUGGAAUGCGCAGAUAUCAGGAGGAACACCGGUGGCGAAGGCGGAUCUCUGGGCCAUUACUGACGCUGAGGAGCGAAAGCGUGGGGAGCGAACAGG